rnacentral:ncRNA from 1 species
CUCACCGGUUUCGGGGACCUUGGUACAGGCAGGCCGGGGAUUCCCCUCUUUACACCGGGCUUACAUCGCACUGGCGAUGAGCCCUCCCGUUUUGGGAACCUUGGUACAGGCAGGCCGGGGAUUCCCUCUUUUAUUGCUCUCGGAGAUGGAUCUCCAGCCG